rnacentral:lncRNA from 1 species
UAAUAUCUCCAAAAUUAUUGGAAGGUAUUAUUGUCAAACAAAGACAAAAAUAAGGACAAUAAUAUAACAUAUUAUAAUAUCUAAAUACAACGGCUAAACAUAUACUUAACCUAAAAUAUAAUAUCUAAAUGAGCGCUUAGCUGCUUAACAAACAUCACAUAAUUUAUAGUCAAGUGAUGUACCAUCAAUCAAAGCUUAUGGUACAAUAUAACAAUAUCUUACACUAUCUAUUAGUUAAUAACAAGUCAUAUGUCAUAUCAUUUAAGACACAUUACAUAUUUGAAUUAUGUAUACAUAAUAUUACUAAUAAAAUUAAUUUUUUUUCUUUCCCUUGCUUCCACUAUUUUAUUUAUUAUUAUUUAUAUAUUUUUUGGAAUGAACAUUCCACCUUAAACAAACAAAUAAAGUCUUGACCAGAACAUUGGUAAGAUUCCUACGAAAAUGUAAAGCAUGACGACGCACUUUCGAUUGUGAAAAUGAAUAAAGCGAAGCAGGUUCUUUAUGCGUUCCUCGAUGUUGUAGUUCUCUUUUUCUUUUUUCACACCUUCACAAACUUGCACUCACAUAGAGCGAUAGAGAUAAGCGAAACUAGCUUUUGCCUUUGUUGAUCAAAUUUUAAAUCACUUAUUACGUGGCUUAAUUGAAAUUUUAUGCAUUUAUUUAAAAAUAAAAUAAAAAAUUAAGAAGUUGAUACAAAUAAAUAAAAAAGGAAAAAGAACUAGUUGCAUUAAUUACAUACCUUACUUUGUAAGUUUGUAUGGGAUAAUAAUUAAAGAUUUAUUGAUAAUUGCACAUCAAGUCCAACUCUAAUUGCUUUUAAACUACGCAAUUAAGUAAAUACAGGUCCUUUUUUUUUUUUUUUGAAUACUGAUUAAUCAUCAUAUUACUGCAUUACACAGAUAUUUACAACUGCUAUUAUAGCAGAUAUAUUACACUGAUAUUUACAAUCAGAAAUACAUGAUUGAGACUUAUAUUAUUACAUUGAAUUCUGUGAAGUACAUGCGUAGACAAAUAAUCCCUUACAGAAGAGGGAUGUCCAUACUCCACUCGUAUUGCACGAGGGAGAGGAAAUUUUUGAAAUAUUAAACAAAUAAGCACGUUAGCCCCCACAAAUGCUUUUGUGGGGGCUUGAACCGCUGCCCUCACAAUGCUUGAUACAGGUCCUAUCAACGCGCUCUGCGACAUACAUAACAGCAUGACGUUUAAAGAGCCUAAUGCCACAUGCAAAUUAUCGAUUGACGGGAGAAAAAAAAAGCUCAAUUUGACAUUUCAUCAUUUAACAGUUUAAACUAAAGAUCCUGGCAUAAUUAAAUAUUACAUAAUAAUGAAAGGUAAAGUAUAAAGAAAAGAUUGUUAAGGAAAGAUGGGGGAAAAGAAAGUAUAAAAGGAAGAAGAUGCUUAGCUUACUUUUUGUGUCAUUUAGAAUGUACGGUGACCGGGUGUUUCCAUAUCAUUUUAAUCUAUAAAAGAGAUUGAUCACUAACAAUGUCAAUAUGUACUCUUUACGUAAAUUAUGGAGAGAGCUCUUUCUUUUCUUUGAGAUAUAUGGUCUUUGAGGUAUAUGGGUGGAUAAAGUUAAAAUUAAAUUUUUGACUUAUAUCUUAUUUGGGAUUUAAAUUUGAAUUGUUGGCUAAAUAAAUUUGUUUGAAAAUUACCCGACCAAUUCUUGCAAAACAAGAGAGUCAUGUUUACUUUAGUAUUUUUGCUAAUUUUUUGUUCAAUUUUUACUGAGUACUGAUAUUUAAAUCCUACGAAGAUAACAUCAAAAUAGAAUUGAUAUUAUUAUUCAUGCGAUAGUACCAUUGUAGUACACAAAAUGAAGACACUGUUCAUACUAAAAUACUGAUGUUUUUGUCAUAGUGGUGUCCCCUUAGUGAUCAAAUAUUAUUUUUUGUUUUUAUCAUAUGUGAAUUCAUAUAAUAGUAUUUUUAUUAUUGGUGAAAAAACAUAAACUAU